AUUUGCCCUAGGUUGGACGCUCCGGGUCUCGAGGGGCGUGGGGUUGCCGUGGUGACCGGCGCCGGCGUCGCAACGAGGGUGGGCUUUGUGAGGAGCAGGAGCAAAAGAAGGCUUCCUCCUAUUCGUUUGCAAAGUCUAAGGACAAGUUGAUGGAGAAGCAGUCCCAGGAGUCCAGACAGGCAGACGGAGAGGCCGGGAAGCCCUCGGACACCCUCCUCCGGGCGACGGCGACAGCUGCACACGGACAGCCCUCUGCUUCGUUGGAAGGGACGUGACCUCAGGAGGCCUGCACCGUCGUCGAGGCACUCGGGGAUGGGGUGAUGAGGGUCCCUUCCUAAGGCCCUGAUGAGACUGAGCUGGUGGCGGACACCUGUAAUCCCAGCACUCUAGGAGGCGGAGGCAGGAGGAUGGCGAGUUGGAGCUCAGCCUGGGCAGCUUAGACAAACCGUGUCUCAAAAUAAACAAUAAAACCGGGCUGGGGACAUAGCUUAGUUCUAAGGCCCUGGGUUCAAGCUUCACUACCCAGCCCCCGCAAAAGACAGGGAAAAGCCCAAGUACAUAUUAUCCUGUGGGUUGGGUACUGUUAAAUAUUUAAAAGGGAGGUGUGGUGGGAUCUGUGCCUUGGAAAGGUCUUUCUGGCCCCCAAACUGGGGUUAGUAGGGGAAGCAAAGGGCUCAGGGAGAACCCUGUCCCAGGCCGUGGCUGUAACCAGGUGGGAACCUGGAGACAGUGUCGACAGGAAUUCUAGAAGGAUCGGGAGGUGGGAGAGGCAGAAGCUGCUCUCUGCUGAGAUGUGGGCAGAACAUGGCCUGAUUGGGGGUCCGGCGUGGAAGAGUGACAGGAGGAGUACUGGCCUGAAGGGACAGGAUCAGCCCAGACUGAGACCCAUGUGGCAUCAGCAAGGGCUGCAGCAGGAGGCAGUUUGAAAUUCAGGUGCUGAGCUUGGGUGAGAGGCCCAGCUUGACUCAGUCAAGGGCUGCAGGAAGGGUUAGCAAUGGGAGAGCAAUGGGAAAUGCUACCCAACUCUCUGGAUGCGUCCACCCGCAGUUACAGAAAAUCCAGCUAGGUAGGCCUGGGAGUUUAGCUCAGUGCUACUGUGCCUGCCUUGUGAGCACAAGGUUCUGAGUUCAAUCCUGGUACCAAAAAAAAGAAAAGAAAAGCCAAGCCAAGCCAGGGCCGGGGAUUUAGCUCAGUGGUUUCGCCGCCUGCUGCACAAGCGCAAGGUCCCGAGUUCAAUCCCCGGUACCAAAAAAAAAAAAAGAAAAGCCAGCUAGGGCAACUUUCACUGAGGGUUAAGGGCUCAAAGGAAGGGUCAGAAACAGGCAUCCAGAGCAGUUGCUCAGCAACACAGCCAUGACAUCAAGGCCUUUGUCAUCCUCAGUGUCAGGACAUCUUCCUUUAUAACCCCUGGGGAGCCCGAGGGCUCUGGGUGUCACGUGCAGACUCUGAGAGCCUUCUCCCUGCUGCCUGUUGGCCAGGCCACCCUUCCUGGGCCCACCCAGCCUCUUAGGGUGGGCUCAGCUCUGCAAGUUCCUGAGGGACCAGUGGAGCCAGGAGGUGGGGAGGGGACAGGACCUCUGCCAGCGGAGAACUGUCAGUUGGAAGGGCACCAGCAGUGUCUGUCACGCAGUGUCCCUCAAGGGUUGGAAGGCAGACAUGAAGGGAAAGCAGAAAGCCAGACACAGAGGCGCACACCUGUGAUCUCAGGACUUGGGAGACUGAGGCAAGAGGAUUACAAGUUUGAGUCUCACCUGAAGAACUUAGUGAGACUCUGUCUCAAAAUAAAAAAUAAGCCAGGUGAAGUGGCGCAUGCAGCACUUAGGCUGAGGCAGAAGGAUCACCAGUUCUCAGCCAGCCUGGGCUGCUGAGAACAGCAGUGAGGACCCUGUGAGGAUGCGGUUUCAAGACAGAUGGUGAAGGCUGAGGUUCCUUCAACAAUGGAACGUCCUCAACAGGAACAAGGAACAAGCCCCUGCCACAUGCUGCAUUGUGGAGCAACCCCAAACUCCACGCCCAGGGAAAGGAGCCAGGACCACAACUAAUGACUCCCUGUGUGUGAAAUGUCCUGAAAGGGAGAACAGUAGAAAGAAGUGGUCGGAGCUCGGGAUUUAGCUCAGUGGUUCCGCCACUUGCCUCGAAAACACAAGGUCCUGAAUUUGAUCCCAGUACCAAAAAAAAGGAAGAUAGACUAAUAUUGAUUGAAGCUGCAUGGUGCAGAUAUAGAUAUCGUAAUAUCCUUUUUUCACGUGUAUUUGAGUAUUUCUGUAAUAAGUUUGUUCUGGAGGUGGAAUAUGCUAAGUUACAAGAGGAUCUUGAAAAAUAAACUGAGAUAGAGAAGGGGAGGGAGAAGCAAAUGAUUUAAGAUGUGUAUGGACGUGUCCCAAACUCCCAUGAUGAAUGUAAGUGUACACUGCAAACAAACACUAAUAAAGUUUUUAAAAGA